AACAGAAUGUUAUCACGGGAGACACACGGCGGGUGCUAACGUCCGUCGUGAAGAGGGAAACAACCCAGACCGCCAGCUAAGGUCCCAAAGUCAUGGUUAAGUGGGAAACGAUGUGGGAAGGCACAGACAGCCAGGAUGUUGGCUUAGAAGCAGCCAUCAUUUAAAGAAAGCGUAAUAGCUCACUGGUCGAGUCGGCCUGCGCGGAAGAUGUAACGGGGCUAAACCAUGCACCGAAGCUGCGGCAGCAACACUAUGUGUUGUUGGGUAGGGGAGCGUUCUGUAAGCCGUUGAAGGUGUGCUGUGAGGCAUGCUGGAGGUAUCAGAAGUGCGAAUGCUGACAUAAGUAACGAUAAAGCGGGUGAAAAGCCCGCUCGCCGGAAGACCAAGGGUUCCUGUCCAACGUUAAUCGGGGCAGGGUGAGUCGACCCCUAAGGCGAGGCCGAAAGGCGUAGUCGAUGGGAAACAGGUUAAUAUUCCUGUACUUGGUGUUACUGCGAAGGGGGGACGGAGAAGGCUAUGUUAGCCGGGCGACGGUUGUCCCGGUUUAAGCAUGUAGGCGGAGGUUCCAGGUAAAUCCGGUACCUUUUAACGCUGAGGUGUGAUGACGAGGCACUACGGUGCUGAAGUAACAAAUGCCCUGCUUCCAGGAAAAGCCUCUAAGCAUCAGGUAACACGAAAUCGUACCCCAAACCGACACAGGUGGUCAGGUAGAGAAUACCAAGGCGCUUGAGAGAACUCGGGUGAAGGAACUAGGCAAAAUGGUGCCGUAACUUCGGGAGAAGGCACGCUGAUAUGUAGGUGAAGCCCCUGCGGGUGGAGCUGAAAUCAGUCGAAGAUACCAGCUGGCUGCAACUGUUUAUUAAAAACACAGCACUGUGCAAACACGAAAGUGGACGUAUACGGUGUGACGCCUGCCCGGUGCCGGAAGGUUAAUUGAUGGGGUUAGCGGCAACGCGAAGCUCUUGAUCGAAGCCCCGGUAAACGGCGGCCGUAACUAUAACGGUCCUAAGGUAGCGAAAUUCCUUGUCGGGUAAGUUCCGACCUGCACGAAUGGCGUAAUGAUGGCCAGGCUGUCUCCACCCGAGACUCAGUGAAAUUGAACUCGCUGUGAAGAUGCAGUGUACCCGCGGCAAGACGGAAAGACCCCGUGAACCUUUACUAUAGCUUGACACUGAACACUGGUCCUUGAUGUGUAGGAUAGGUGGGAGGCUUUGAAGCGUGGACGCCAGUCUGCGUGGAGCCAUCCUUGAAAUACCACCCUUUAAUGGCUGGUGUUCUAACGUUGACCCGUAAUCCGGGUUGCGGACAGUGUCUGGUGGGUAGUUUGACUGGGGCGGUCUCCUCCCAAAGAGUAACGGAGGAGCACGAAGGUUAGCUAAUCCUGGUCGGACAUCAGGAGGUUAGUGCAAUGGCAUAAGCUAGCUUGACUGCGAGAGUGACGGCUCGAGCAGGUGCGAAAGCAGGUCAUAGUGAUCCGGUGGUUCUGAAUGGAAGGGCCAUCG
rnacentral:rRNA from 1 species